AUUGAACGCUGGCGGCAUGCCUUACACAUGCAAGUCGAACGGUAACAGGUCUUCGGAUGCUGACGAGUGGCGAACGGGUGAGUAAUACAUCGGAACGUGCCUAGUAGUGGGGGAUAACUACUCGAAAGAGUGGCUAAUACCGCAUGAGAUCUACGGAUGAAAGCAGGGGAUCGCAAGACCUUGUGCUACUAGAGCGGCCGAUGGCAGAUUAGGUAGUUGGUGGGAUAAAAGCUUACCAAGCCGACGAUCUGUAGCUGGUCUGAGAGGACGAUCAGCCACACUGGGACUGAGACACGGCCCAGACUCCUACGGGAGGCAGCAGUGGGGAAUUUUGGACAAUGGGCGCAAGCCUGAUCCAGCAAUGCCGCGUGCAGGAUGAAGGCCUUCGGGUUGUAAACUGCUUUUGUACGGAACGAAAAGCCCUGGGUUAAUACCCUGGGGCCAUGACGGUACCGUAAGAAUAAGCACCGGCUAACUACGUGCCAGCAGCCGCCGUAUAC
rnacentral:rRNA from 1 species